rnacentral:rRNA from 1 species
GAUGAACGCUGGCGGCGUGCCUAAUACAUGCAAGUCGAGCGAACAGACGAGGAGCUUGCUCCUCUGACGUUAGCGGCGGACGGGUGAGUAACACGUGGAUAACCUACCUAUAAGACUGGGAUAACUUCGGGAAACCGGAGCUAAUACCGGAUAACAUGUUGAACCGCAUGGUUCAACAGUGAAAGACGGUCUUGCUGUCACUUAUAGAUGGAUCCGCGCCGCAUUAGCUAGUUGGUAAGGUAACGGCUUACCAAGGCAACGAUGCGUAGCCGACCUGAGAGGGUGAUCGGCCACACUGGAACUGAGACACGGUCCAGACUCCUACGGGAGGCAGCAGUAGGGAAUCUUCCGCAAUGGGCGAAAGCCUGACGGAGCAACGCCACGUGAGUGAUGAAGGUCUUCGGAUCGUAAAACUCUGUUAUUAGGGAAGAACAAAUGUGUAAGUAACUAUGCACGUCUUGACGGUACCUAAUCAGAAAGCCACGGCUAACUACGUG